rnacentral:tRNA from 1 species
GCCCGAGUGGUGGAACUGGUAGACACAAGGGACUUAAAAUCCCUCACCCUAUGGGUAUGUGGGUUCGACUCCCACCUCGGGCACCA